GCUCCGAGGUGAUUUUCAUGUUGAAUUGCAAGUUCAAGGGAGCAGUUUAAGUCUGCCGGGGCUUC
rnacentral:tRNA from 2 species